UAGUCCACGCCCUAAACGAUGCUUACUGGAUAUUCCUGUUAUGGGAGUGUCUGAGGGAAACCAUUAAGUAAGCCACCUGGGGAGUACGUUCGCAAGAAUGAAACUCAAAGGAAUUGACGGGGUCCGCACAAGCGGUGGAGCAUGUGGUUUAAUUCGAUGAUACGCGAGGAACCUUACCUAGGCUAUAAUGUGAGCGCUAUCUGGUGAAAGCCGGAGUUCCUUCGGGACGCGAAACAAGGUGCUGCAUGGUUGUCGUCAGCUCGUGCCGUGAGGUGUUGGGUUAAGUCCCGUAACGAGCGCAACCCCUAUUGUUAGUUGCCAGCGAGUAAUGUCGGGGACUCUAACGAGACUGCCCGCGUAAGCGGAGAGGAAGGUGGGGACGACGUCAAAUCAUCAUGGCCUUUAUGCCUAGGGGCUACACACGUGCUACAAUGGGCA
rnacentral:rRNA from 1 species